GACGAACGCUGGCGGCGUGCUUAACACAUGCAAGUCGAACGCUGAAGCUUGGUGCUUGCACUGGGUGGAUGAGUGGCGAACGGGUGAGUAAUACGUGAGUAACCUGCCCUUGACUCUGGGAUAAGCCUGGGAAGCUGGGUCUAAUACUGGAUAUGACAUGCCACUGCAUGGUGGUGUGUGGAAAGGGUUUUACUGGUUUUGGAUGGGCUCACGGCCUAUCAGCUUGUUGGUGGGGUAAUGGCCUACCAAGGCGACGACGGGUAGCCGGCCUGAGAGGGUGACCGGCCACACUGGGACUGAGACACGGCCCAGACUCCUACGGGAGGCAGCAGUGGGGAAUAUUGCACAAUGGGCGGAAGCCUGAUGCAGCGACGCCGCGUGAGGGAUGACGGCCUUCGGGUUGUAAACCUCUUUCAGUACGGAAGAAGCGAGAGUGACGGUACGUGCAGAAGAAGCGCCGGCUAACUACGUG
rnacentral:rRNA from 1 species